AUUGUUUUGACAGAAAAAUGUAAUAAAUUUAGAAUUUAUUUAUGUAAUUAGUUUAUAAUUGCAAACAAUA
rnacentral:tRNA from 1 species